GGGGGUGUACUGGUUUCGACGGGGGAAGCGGUGGCAGGAGAAGCGAGCCGAGGUCGCAUUAGCUCGUAAAAACAAUGCACAAAAAGUAAACGCUAACGAAAAUUACGCUUUAGCUGCUUAAUUGCAGUCUAACCUCUUACCUUCUGUGCCUGCGGUGAGGGCUAAGGGGUCAUUUUAGCAGGCUACUUCCGGGCCAGAGUCUCAUAACCCGGGGGGAAACUAAUGGGACUGGCCGGCGGGCAUCCUGUUUGUGGGAGUCCCAAAGGCGAGAUUUAAAACACAAACUACGCUCGUAGAAGCUCUUGUGGUCGGUCCUUCGGACAGGGGUUCAACUCCCCUCACCUCCACCA
rnacentral:tmRNA from 1 species